rnacentral:rRNA from 1 species
GAUGAACGCUGGCGGCGUGCCUAAUACAUGCAAGUCGAGCGAACGGACGAGAAGCUUGCUUCUCUGAUGUUAGCGGCGGACGGGUGAGUAACACGUGGAUAACCUACCUAUAAGACUGGGAUAACUUCGGGAAACCGGAGCUAAUACCGGAUAAUAUUUUGAACCGCAUGGUUCAAAAGUGAAAGACGGUCUUGCUGUCACUUAUAGAUGGAUCCGCGCUGCAUUAGCUAGUUGGUAAGGUAACGGCUUACCAAGGCAACGAUGCAUAGCCGACCUGAGAGGGUGAUCGGCCACACUGGAACUGAGACACGGUCCAGACUCCUACGGGAGGCAGCAGUAGGGAAUCUUCCGCAACGGGCGAAAGCCUGACGGAGCAACGCCGAGUGAGUGAUGAAGGUCUUCGGAUCGUAAAACUCUGUUAUUAGGGAAGAACAGAUGUGUAAGUAACUGUGCCCAUCUUGACGGUACCUAAUAAGAAAGCCACGGCUAACUACGUG